GGCGUCAGACGUGCUGCAGCGAGCAGAGGCCAGUCCCUGGUGCCGAAGCCGCCGCCCCUGCCCGUGGCCGCACCCCCUCCCGCGCACCUACUUGUCCCGAGGCAGGCAGGUCUAUACUUCAACCCUUAGGAAGAUGUCCUUUUAAUUUCGUUCUCCUACUGCCAGCUGGUGUCGGGAAAGUGCCACUGCAGAGCAGAAGCGACGAGCUGACAGGUUCCAGCCCAGACGAGAAGGGGCAGUUUCAGGACGGAGUCACCAACACACAGCUUUGCAUAAAUGUAUAAUGCCUUGUCCUGGGAGACAACACUGAAUCCCAACAUUGCCGGCACCUGCCCAGGGCGAGUCUGCACACUGGACCCGGCACCGCGAGGGUAGGCGGGCUGGUCCUCCUGACCCCCCCAGCACACACGGAGCCUGGUGAAACAGCAGGAGAGCUGCCCGCAGAAGAGGCCUGCUGCGUGAGGCCAUGUGUCUGGCCAUUUAAUCUUAAGUAUUAACCCGUCAGGAAAGAAUCAUAGCGCUUUACAUAAAUGUGUGAAAUUCCACUUGUAUUCUUUUGGUCAAUUCUGCUUAUAGGCAAACAUUAAGAAUAUAAAUUAGUUAAGAGUUACAACCUGAUGAAUCACAAUAACUACUCUUCCAUUUACUGAGAGUUUUUUUCCAUGUGGCAUUUUUCUAAGCAGUUUAAACUCCCAAUAGGGGGGCACUACUCUUAGCCCCACUUCCCACAGGAGGAACCGGAGGCUCAGAGAGGGGCUGGCGGUGGGGCAGGGAAUUCCAACACGGCAGGAGUGCGGAGCCGGCCUAGCCACCAGGGCACAGGAGGUGAAGUCAGGAAGGGAAGGCUGAAUGUAGUUUAAUUAGGACAAUUAACCCUCAGGUCCUCAAAUAACAUGAAGAAAAUGGCCAUGAAAACUGCACAUUAAUUAUUUUCCCUUUUGAUUUCCUCCCACAUAAAAUAAUUGCUACCAGAUAACAAUAAUCCCCUGUUUUUAUGACUCCUCCACAAACCAAAUCUCUUCAGCUGAGGUGAGACCGAGGUGGUCACGUCAGCAGAGGCCCCAAAGCCCGACUAAGAACACAGGGAAACUACGGCUCAGCGCGCAAGGCCUGGCUCCUA